GAUGAACGCUGGCGGCGUGCCUAAUACAUGCGAGUCGAGCGAACAGACGAGGAGCUUGCUCCUCUGACGUUAGCGGCGGACGGGUGAGUAACACGUGGAUAACCUACCUAUAAGACUGGGAUAACUUCGGGAAACCGGAGCUAAUACCGGAUAAUAUAUUGAACCGCAUGGUUCAAUAGUGAAAGACGGUUUUGCUGUCUCUUAUAGAUGGAUCCGCGCCGCAUUAGCUAGUUGGUAAGGUAACGGCUUACCAAGGCAACGAUGCGUAGCCGACCUGAGAGGGUGAUCGGCCACACUGGAACUGAGACACGGUCCAGACUCCUACGGGAGGCAGCAGUAGGGAAUCUUCCGCAAUGGGCGAAAGCCUGACGGAGCAACGCCGCGUGAGUGAUGAAGGUCUUCGGAUCGUAAAACUCUGUUAUUAGGGAAGAACAAAUGUGUAAGUAACUAUGCACGUCUUGACGGUACCUAAUCAGAAAGCCACGGCUAACUACGUG
rnacentral:rRNA from 1 species